UGGGGAAUAUUGGACAAUGGGCGAAAGCCUGAUCCAGCAAUGCCGCGUGAGUGAUGAAGGCCUUAGGGUUGUAAAGCUCUUUUACCAGGGAUGAUAAUGACAGUACCUGGAGAAUAAGCUCCGGCUAACUCCGUGCCAGCAGCCGCGGUAAUACGGAGGGAGCUAGCGUUGUUCGGAAUUACUGGGCGUAAAGCGUACGUAGGCGGUGACUCAAGUCAGAGGUGAAAGCCUGGAGCUCAACUCCAGAACUGCCCUUGAAACUAGGUCGCUAGAAUCACGGAGAGGUGAGUGGAAUUCCGAGUGUAGAGGUGAAAUUCGUAGAUAUUCGGAAGAACACCAGUGGCGAAGGCGGCUCACUGGACGUGUAUUGACGCUGAGGUACGAAAGCGUGGGGAGCAAACGGGAUUAGAUACCCCCGUAGUCCCUGAGCGGGCUGGCAAGGCGCAU
rnacentral:rRNA from 1 species